CGCGUAGGCGGUUUUGUAAGUCGGAUGUGAAAGCCCCGGGCUUAACCUGGGAACUGCAUUCGAGACUGCAUUACUGGAGUAUGGGAGAGGGCAGUGGAAUUUCCGGUGUAGCGGUGAAAUGCGUAGAUAUCGGAAGGAACAUCAGUGGCGAAAGCGACUGCCUGGCCCAAUACUGACGCUCAUGUGCGAAAGCGUGGGGAGCAAACA
rnacentral:rRNA from 1 species